UCCUCAAUGCAGGGAACAAUUAUAAGAGGAGAUGCUCAGCAUUCCUUAGGUAGGGAGCAUCUCUCCCUGGGAGCCAUCAGGGCAGAAGGUGGAGGUGGCGUGUUCCCAAAUUUUCAGUUUCUUGGGCUGGAGGAGGCAAAAUCAAAGUAGAAAAAAAGAAAAAAAAAAUCCAAAGGGUGUUGUAGGUGGAGAGCUUUGCCAGGCAGGUUUCUGUGGCUCUGUGCUCCGUGUGGAAAGCAGCUCCUGGGGCAGGUGGGUGUCUCUGGCAGCUCAGCCAGGACUCAGGGUGGUGUUGGCAUGGCCUGCAGUUUGCCAUCCCCACGCUCCAUGCUGGCAUUGCAGCUGGGCACCCAUGAGCUGCUCUGAUCCACAGACCCACCUGCCUGUAGGAAUCAUCCCUAUGGAUCCCAGCUCCCCUUGGGCUGGAGCAGCUGCAGGGAUAGAAGGAGGGGUGUGGAAUUUGGCUUUGCUGCUGGAGAGAGGAAGGCCCCAGGAUCCAGAGAACCUCUGGAUCCCAGGAUCCAGCUGUGCCUCCAGGCCAGUGACUCGUGUUCCAGUGGGCUCUCAUGAACCAGAGCUUUUAGCUGAGAGAUGGGGAGAAAUCCUUCUCCUUCCUUCUCCUCCUUCCUUCUCCACCUUCCUUCUCCUCCUUCCUUCUCCUCCUUCCCUCUCCUCCUCCCUUCUCCUCCUUCCUUCUCCUUCCUUCUCCUUCCUUCUCCUUCCUUCUCCUUCCUUCUCCUCCUUCCUUCUCCUUCCUUCUCCUUCCUUUUCUUCCUCCUCCUUCCUUCUCCUUCCUUCUCCUUCCUUCUCCUUCCUUUUCUUUCUCCUCCUUCCUUCUCCUCCUUCCUUCUCCUUCCCUCUCCUUCCUUCUCCUUCCUUUUCUUCCUUCUUCUCCUUCCUUCUCCUUCUUCUCCUUCCUUCUCCUUCCUUCUCCUUCCUUUUCUUCCUCCUCCUUCCUUCUCCUUCCUUCUCCUUCCUUCUCCUUCCUUCCUGGCACAGAUUCCCAGAGAAGCUGUGGCUGCCCCUGAAUCCCUGCAGGCAUCCAAGGCCAAGUUGGAUGGGCUUGGAGCACUUGGGGAUGGUGGAAAGUGUUGGGGUUGGAACUGGAUUGGCUUUUCCCACCCAAACCUUUCUGUGAUUUGAUGAUUUUCCACUAUUUGAGCCAAAUAACAACAUCCUGCUGUGCCCCACAGCAUCACCAAGGAGAGGACAGAAGUCAUCCUUCAGGGAACAUCCAGCCUGGAUCCCAAUGACCCCACAGCAGUCUGGGAGGAGUUUGAGUUCAAGUGCAAGCCCGGGGAUUUGAGGAGGAGGCCGUGCCUCAUCUCCCCCUACCACUACCGCCUCGACUGGCUCAUGUGGUUUGCUGCCUUCCAGACCUACGAGCAGAACGAAUGGAUCAUCCACCUGGCUGGGAAGCUGCUGGCCCAGGAGGAGGAGACCUUGUCCCUGCUGGCCACAAACCCCUUUGCAGGCAGAGAUCCUCCAAGGUGGAUCCGGGGGGAACACUUCAAGUACAAGUUCAGCCAGCCCGGGGGGAAGCACGCCGCCGAUGGGAAGUGGUGGAUCCGGAAAAGGAUCGGCCCCUAUUUCCCCCCCAUCAACCUGCAGGGACUGAGGAAGUUCUUUAAGGACAGGAAUUGGCCUUAUCCCGUGCAGGACUGAGGGGAGAAGAUGGCCAAGACAAGAGGGACCAGCUGGGAAGGUGGAGAAUGGGCAGCUCCCCUCCAAACAUCUCCUGCCUCUAUCCACAUCCUUGUUCACACCUCUUUUCCAGAAGAUUCCCGGCCAAUCUACCCACUUGCUCUGGGAGCUGCUUUUUCUCACCUCAGUGGUGGAUUUCUUUUGCCAGGCUGCUCCAUUCAGGAAUUCCUGUGGAACUGGGAAAAAGGCAAGCAAAUAAGCAUGACUGGUUUUGGGCGAGGUGUUGGUGUUGCCAAAAGCAGCUGAAACAAAAAUGAAAAAGUGUGUUUGAACCAAAAAUGGGAAAACAAACCAGGAGGAAUCUCUGGGGUUGUGUGGGCUGUGGAUGCAGGAAUGCCCUUUCCCAUGUUUUUUUUUGCACCUUUUUGACCACAUAUAUCAAAUAGGCACCACUGGGAGAGUGUUCCUGGAGAGGAAUUAAAGUAAACAAUCCUGAAUAACCAGCAGGAGCUUCACUGGGUUUUUGUUUUUCCUGGAAGUGCUAAAAAGGGGAAAAAAAAGAAGAAGCCCCGGUGCCUGCCCUGAUGUGGCUCACCAGGAUAAGGCAGCUCCUGUGGGAAUGGGGUGGCAGGUGAGGCAUGAGGUGAGUCCUGGCAUUGGUUUGUGUUCUGGGCAGAAUCCAAAAUUUGGUGUUGUGUCCAAGUGUCCAUCCCCAUCCCGGGGAUCCAGGGCUGUGAGAGGAGAAUUCUCCCUCCCCUUCUCCCCAGGGUUCCAGGGUGCCUUUGCUCAUGGUUUCAGUGGAUUUUCCUUCCAAGCUGCUCCUUCUCCAGGGGUGCAGCCCAGGAUGGGUGAUGGGUGACACAGGUGACACCCCCCAGGCACCCCACAUGGACUGGGCACCCAACAGCGCUGGCCUCCCCCUCCCCAAUUUAAUGAAUUUCUUUUGCUUUCCAACCUCUGGGUCAGGGAUAAUGGAUCCCAGACCAGCAUUCCCAUUCCUGUUUGCUGCUUGUUAAGCUUUUUUUUUACUUUUUUUUCCCUCUUUUUUUUUUAUUCCAAUCCAAGCUCCCCAUUCUGCUCCAGAGCAAUGCCUGGAAGAUAAAACCCAUCCAGAGGGGCAGGAGGGGAUUCCAUUGGAAACAUUUCCCUGGGACAAGAAUUUAAAAGAGAAAAGGAACAAUUAUUCCGAGGUGGGAGGAAAUCAGAACCACGUGGUGUUAUCUGCUCACUGGGAAGGGUUUUGUGGAGAGGAUUUUUACCCCGGAGUUCAGCGCUGGAAGGAAAAUGCUGUGGCAUUCCCAAGUCAGCACCGGGAAUCUGCAGGGAGGGAAACUCCAUCCGGGAGCUGCUCCUGCCAGCUCGGAGGUCCCUGAGGUCCCACCACCUUCUGCAGAAGUUCUGGAGGGCAGGGUUGGGGUCCCUCAAUGGGCUGAGCCCUUCUCUGGGCUGUGUUUUCCUGGCUCAUCCCAAUCCCGCUCCCUCCUCUUCGUUCGCUGUCAGGUCCAAGGAAAUUCCAGAGCUGAGACAGUCAGGACAUGGCCAGGUGAUCACCCCACGUCCAUCCUGAGCAGCUCCAGCUCCACCGUGGCUGGAGACAUCUCAGGGCCGUUCCUGGAUCAGAAACAAUCCAUUUUAUUUCUUUUAUUUUUGUUUCCUACAUGGAAGUUAUUGACCCUUGGGGUACCCCAAGUAUUUACACUUGGUCUAAGUGAGGUAGAAGUGACUUUUCCCCCUUUUUUCCCAAGAUUUCAGCCUUUUGGAAGCACGAGGUCUCCUCACAAGCCCAGCUGGGUUUGCCCAUUGGCCACUGGCUGUGGCAAGGCUGGAUCCAGCUCAUCCCAGCUGCUCUCCCCCCAGAAAAGAAGGAAUUCUCCCAGUUUGUUUUUUUUUAUCUCACAUCUAGGUCUGUUCCUGGGGAGAGCAGAAAGUGGAUAUGAGUGGACAGAGGGGUUUUAGCUCAUCCCUUGGGCGCAGGGAACGAGGAAAUGAUUUGUGCUUGCGUUAUUUGGGAAGAACCAACAGGAAGGUUCCAGAUUUCCACUGAUUUUUCCCCAUGGCAAAGGGAUGGGGCUGUGGGAGGCUGGAUUGGGCCAUCCAGACAUUCCCAGAGGGGCUGGAAAGGACUGAAAGCUCAUCCCAUGCCACCCCUGCCAUGGCAGGGACACCUCCCACUGUGCCAGGCUGCUCCAGCCCCAUCCAGCCUGGCCUUGGCACUACCAGGGAUCCAGGAAUCCCUGGGAAUCUGUGCCAGGGCCUCCCUGGAUCCACCCAGGUUCCAUUUCCCAACAUUCCUCUAAAAACAUGGAUUUGGUUCGUGUUUUGGGAAUGUGGAGGGGUCAGUGGUGAGGAGCUGCUGGAGGUGAGUUUGUGUCCCCACCAACACCUGCACUGCCCCAACCCAGAGAAUUCCUUAUUCCUGGAUCUUCUUUAUAAAUCACUUAUUGAUUUUAAAGCAGCCAAACUCCAGGCUGGGAAUUCCCAAAGGAAAUACCUGCAGCCAUAUCCAUUCCCUGCUCCCAGCUGCUUGGAAAAGCUGGAUUUGCUUUAACACAUAUGAAAGGAAAAAGCUUUUCUUUUUUUUUUUUUUUUUUUUUUCCCUUCCUGGUAGAUUAAGUUUGGCCAAACAAUUCCGUGUGAACUGCUGGGCAGGAGGCACAAACCUGUAGGCAAAAUUACCCAGCUGCUCCAAGUUUAGAGCAGCAUGGGAUGAAUUUCAGGAUCGUAUAUUAGUUUCCAUUUAAUCUGAUUAUUCCAGGCUGGAGUUCCUGGAGGGUCUUCAGGUUAUUGUCAGUCAAAAGAAUCUUUAAAAGCUUCCAUUUGCCCUCAACUUUUCCCAUUCCAAGUCUAUUUUCAUUAUGGAUUGAUUUUGAUUUUAAUGAAAAAAUUAUUCUCCCAACUCCCUGCUUUCCCCCCCCCCCCCCCGACUUGGGGUUAAAAUUGAAGCCACAAUGGGGUCUUGCCACUCAAAAUCCCAUUUUCCAGCUUUCCUGAGGGUGUUGCUUGGCUGAAGGAGCUUGAGCAGACAACAAGGGGCAGAUAAUUUGGGAAGGCACCUUAGCCCCUUUCUCACUGGGAGAACGCUUCAAUGCCUCCAGUCCCAGGGGGAUUUCCAGCUCCAGAGUCUGGGAGAGGAAUGCAGAAUUCAUGGAUUCCCUGGCAGUGCUGUCACCUCAGGGGCUCAUUCCUGUCACCUCCUCCCCGGGGAUUGGGAAGGGUGGGAAUGCUGGGGAGGGGGACACCCCUGCCAGGUCUGCUGCUGGAGGAGUGGCAGCUUUGUGGCACUGGGGUGGCUUUGGGCUGGCACCUCCCUGGGGUGUCCCUGGCACUGGAAUUGUCCUGUGGGAGCUCUGGAAUUGUCCCCGUGUGAGCUCUGGAAUUGUCCCUUUGGGAGCACUGGAAUUGUCCUGAGUGAGCUCUGGAAUUGUCCCCGUGGGAGCUCUGGAAUUGUCCUGAGUGAGCUCUGGAAUUGUCCCUUUGUGAGCUCUGGAAUUGUCCUGAGUGAGCUCUGGAAUUGUCCCUGUGGGAGCUCUGGAAUUGUCCCCGUGGGAGCAGCCUGGCACAGUGGAGGCUGUUGGGGUUGGCACUCUGCCCUUCCCAGCCAAACCAUCCCAGUGGUGGUGCUCAGGACAAAUUCCUGUCCCAGAUUUCCACUGAUUUUUCCCCAUUUUCAGACAGAUUUUGCCCCAUUUUUCACCAUAUUUUACCCCAUUUUCCCACAGAUUUUACCCCAUUCUUCUAUGGAUUUUACCCCAUUCUUCCACGGAUUUUACCCCAUUCGUCCAUGGAUUUUACCCCAUUUUUCUAAAGAUUUUGCCCUUUUUUCCACGGAUUUUACCCCAUUCUUCUGUGGAUUUUUCCCAUUCUUCCACAGAUUCUGCCCCAUUCUUCCACAGAUUUUUCCCCAUUUUUCCACGGAUUUCACCUCAUUCUUCCACAGAUUUUACCCCAUUCUUCAACGAAUUUUUUCCCCAUUUUUCCAUGGAUUUUCCCACUGAUUUUCCCCCAUUUUCCCCCAGCUUUUGCCAUGCCCAUCCCCACGUUGUCCCCUUUCCCCAGCACGGGCUGGAUCCCUCUCCCUGUGCAGUAGCAGCUCCGGGUAGGAUUGCACAGGGCUGAGCUUUCCCGGCGUGUGCCGGGUGCUGGGACAGUUCCACUGAAAUCCCAGCACCUGCAAGUGGUUACUUAGAAUAAUAAAUAACUGAUAGAUUAUCAAAUAAAGCCUUGCCUUGGGAUGAGGUCAUCCCUGCCCCGUGUCCUGCGUCUCCCAGGGUUUGGAGCAGCUUUCCUGGGCUAAAUCCCUCUUGUAUCAGGCAAUAAAAAACUUGUCGGGAUUAAAGAAUCAAUUAGGAAUUAGCCAAAGGGGCAAAGCGUAACCCAAACACGCUGAUAAAAUCCAGUAGGUGAUUAUGGGAAGGGGUUUGAUUUCAUUGGGCUUUGGAAAGGAAUAAUUGCUCCUUCCAGAGCACGGAACAACACGGGCUGGGUGUUUUUGCAGCUUUAUAGAGGAGGAAAUUCUGGUGUUCGCUGACAAAUGUGGGGACAUGCCACGAUUUAGGGCUGAAGGGGGUCCUGAAUUUGAGAAGCAUCAUUCCCUGGUUGGGAAAAUGAUCUUGGAAAUCUUUUCAAGGACAGGUUGGACGGGGCUUGGAGCAGCCUGGGAUGGUGGAAGGUGUCCCUGUGGCAGGGAGUGGAACCAGAUGAGUUUUAAGGUCCCUCCCAACCCAAACCAUUCUGGGAUAUUCCAUGACUGGGAUGCAGCAGGAUGGGCAGGGAUGUGCCACAUCUCUGGCACUGCCUUUGCUCUUCCACAGGCACAGGAAAACAGAACAGAACUCCUGGAAAAAUUGAUUUUCCCAGCUGAUGAUGGCAGGGAGGGGAUGGAGCAGUCCCAGCAUGGUGCAGGAGCGUGAGGAGUUGGAUUUUAGGGGAAAAGAGCCCGAUCCUGGCUCGGGGACUCUGUGCCACCAAUCCCUGUUUAUUCCCUGUCUAGCCCAGCUUCCCACUCUCCCAAAGCUUUUCUUCAUGAAGGAGACCCAGGGACAGAAGAUCCCCCAAGGCAGCGUGGUGCCAGCACAUCCCAGGAAUGUCUCAGCCUCAUCCCAACCUCCUCCUGCACAGCUCCAUCCUCCCCCAGCAGCUCCAGGCUUGAUCUUUUUGGGAUUGUUUUGGCCUCAUCCCAACCUCCCCCAGCAGCUCCAGGCUCAGCCUUUUUGGGAUCAUUUCAGCCACGGGGCAGCCCUGUGACAAAUGCCAGGGGACACCAACCUGUGCGAGUGGAGCCCUCUGGGUGUUUUUGGGGUGUCUGACUCAGCCCUGGUUACCUGAAAUGCUGCCCAGGGCUCUGCCCCACCUUCCCCCUGUCCCCCCUGUCCCCCCAGGGGCACUGCAGCUCCCUGACUGAAGCGUAGUGUCGGAAUCUGAGGUGUUGAUGAUCCCAAAAUUGUAGAGUGUCUCUGUCUUUCAGCCCCGCUGCCAAAGAAGAAGCCAUAAUCCAUCUGUGCUGUUUCAAGGUUGUUUAUUCUGUUUAUCUCUAACAUGUUCUGCUGCCCUGCCGCAGCUCUGUCCUGCAGGGCAGCGUGUGGGGCUCUGCCCUCAGUGGGAUGGUACAAACAUUAAAUACCACAAACUACCUGUGCUGGAUUUACAAUAACGUGCCAAUAUCUGUCACCUACAUUGGACAGUGUGUCCCCAGCCUGAACCAACAGAAAAAUGCCAACACCACAGUGAAACAUGGAGGGCAUGAAGAAGGAGAAAAAGGACAAGACACACCCAAUUUCCUCCAUCUUGUCCCCUUUGGACCCCUCAUCUAGAAUCCUAAAAUUUUACUUUUGCACCCAUGCCACACUUAAUUAUUACUCAUAUCAAACACUCAGAGCUGGUAAUUCACCCUGUAAGAUUGAAAACUCUUUUCCAUGGACAGAGAUCACAGCCAGUGUCUCUGGGGGCUCUGUCCAGGGGGGUUCCUGACCCCUGCCAGGGUCCCAGGGCAGCCAGAGGGAUGCUCUGGAUUCCCACAUAGGUGGAAUAAAUAAAUAGACUUUAAAUAAAAAGUUAAAAUUUAUCAAUAUAAUGCAUAAUUCUACAAGCUAAAAUAUAAUUAAUUCAUUUUGUCAACUGAAGUGAAUUCUAAAAAUCAGUUUCACAGCCACAGAUGCCACCGCCGGACUGUCACAGCGUGUUCGCCUGGAGCUGAACUGUCACAAGGAGGUGACAGCCAGGAUGGGGGGACAGGGACGCUGCACAUCCCAUUUUUCCUGUUUCCCGCUGGUUCUGGGAAGGGAACAAUAAAUAAUCCCUCCCAACUGGCCAAGUGUGGGGGCAAAAAUCCAGCGGGGCUGCGAGGGGACAGUGGGGGGCACAACGCGACAUGAACACCUUGUCCGGUGGGCAGCAGCGUCGGGGGGGAGAAGAUUGCCCCGCUCGGGUCCCAAAUUCCCGAAUGAAGCAGGAUCCCUGCACCUGUGUCCUCAGAUAUUCCCAUUCAUCCUGGAGAGGAGGCCGGGGCUGCGCAGCUGCGGCAGCAUUAUUCCCCCUCGCCCUAUUUGCAUCUCAAUCAGCCCCUGAUUAAUAUUUAAAGAGCCAGCUGUCCGAGCCACCUAGGGAAGAAAAAAAGCUCUGUGAGGUUUUUAUUGAUUUUUUUCCCCCCCUUUUUUUUUUCGGGGAUAACACUCGCUGCCCUUUAUGGAGCGCGCUUCUUUUUUUUUUUUUUUUUUUUUUUUUUUUUUUUUUUUUUUAACCCCCUCUAUUCUUUUAGUCGAAAUUAAGGAGAAGAGGGGGGUAAAAAAUAUGAAGGAGUUAUCAGUGAAGGAGUUGUGCUGCUCUCAAUGCUCCUCAGUCCUUUUGUGCACGGGGGCAGCUGCAGGGGCAGGUUUGGAGGGGCAGGAGCUGGUGGGCGCCCAUGGGAACGGGAUUUGGGAGCAGGAGGAAACUGGGAUGGGAUUGGGAUGGGAUGGGAUGUGCUAAAAACCACCCUGGGUCAGGGGUGGCUCUGUGUGGUGGAAAAGUCUCUCCUCCAAGCCGAGCUUCCAAAGAAAGGCUCAGCAGUCUCUGUUGUUCGGUCUCAAGGCAGUUUAUUGCAAGUUAUCUAAAAGAUUUUCUUCUGGGGCUGCUGUGGUUUGCUCACAGCUCAGGCAGAGGCACACACACACCCUGACAUCCUCUCUGACUCCCGACUGCUUCUU
ensembl:lncRNA